rnacentral:rRNA from 1 species
AGUGAACGCUGGCGGUAGGCCUAACACAUGCAAGUCGAACGGCAGCACAGUAAGAGCUUGCUCUUACGGGUGGCGAGUGGCGGACGGGUGAGGAAUACAUCGGAAUCUACUUUUUCGUGGGGGAUAACGUAGGGAAACUUACGCUAAUACCGCAUACGACCUACGGGUGAAAGCAGGGGAUCUUCGGACCUUGCGCGAUUGAAUGAGCCGAUGUCGGAUUAGCUAGUUGGCGGGGUAAAGGCCCACCAAGGCGACGAUCCGUAGCUGGUCUGAGAGGAUGAUCAGACACACUGGAACUGAGACACGGUCCAGACUCCUGCGGGAGGCAGCAGUGGGGAAUAUUGGGCAAUGGGCGCAAGCCUGAUCCAGCCAUACCGCGUGGGUGAAGAAGGCCUUCGGGUUGGAAAGCCCUUUUGUUGGGAAAGAAAAGCAGCAGGUUAAUACCCCGCUGUUCUGACGGUACCCAAAGAAUAAGCACCGGCUAACUUCGUG